rnacentral:misc_RNA from 1 species
GUAGGUGAACCUGCGGAAGGAUCAUUUACAAAAUGAAGUGUUAUAACACUUUAAUCCAUGUGAAUAGCCAAAUAUGAUACAUCAUAUAUGGCGAGUUGGUAACGAGGGAAUAUUUAUACUAUGAUUGUCUAACUUAUUUAAAUAAAUAAUUAAACAACUUUUAACAAUGGAUCUCUAGGCUCUUGCAUCGAUGAAGAACGCAGCAUCUGACUGACUCGGGCAUA